AAGAUCAUAUUCAGUACUGUUUUUGGCGAGGCUUUGUCUGUGUAAGGGGAUUUGACCGGAAGACGAGAGCACUGCGUCCUCUCAUUGCCAGACUUCAUUUCCCAGCCAGUAAGUUAAAAAAGGUAAAGUGAAGGACGGGUGAGAAUUAGGUGUCAUCCCGCUCACCAUAGCUAACAGUAGGAUUGUGUAGAAACAGCAAUGGCAGGCCUGGAAUCAGAACACUAUUCUUCACAGUGCAAAAGGAAAUGAAAUCAGCGUACCGUAUUCAUAUAAUGAAGGGAAAUAGGCUCUGUAGAAUGAAAUCAGAAUAUUCCUGCUCGAACAAGAAACAUUUCGUUUCUGUUGACAUAGAAGCUGAAAUAGAAUAGAAUUACAUGUCUUUCUUCUAAUUUAUUAUUACCCUUUAAAAAAAAAAAAAAAAAAAUUAGAUAUGUCAUCUUGAUUGCUGGAGUCUGUAUUAUAAAUGGUGCAGAAAUGCAGUACUCCGCAGGGAAUAUGCUCGGCUACAGUGAUUUUUGAACUGGCUAAGCUUAAAAAAUUUAUGUAUAAGCAAUAUGUUACCGGACGGUUA